GCUUUGAAAUGUGAUGGCCUACUUCAUAUUUUUGCCACCAUGCCCUUCCUGCCAUGAUGAAGUGCAUCCCCACUGGAGCAGUUGCACUAACCUUUCCCAGGCCUGACUCUUGCUCUCCUGUCUCACUGUGAUGAUGAGGAUCCUGUCAUAAAACCUUUGAAAGCAAAACAGCUAACCACGCUGAACAUGAUUUCCAUGAUUAUUGAUUGAAACUCUAGCCCAAUGAGAAAUCACUGCACUCUGGAGUACCUGUCAGAGAA